AUAUAUGCCUCUUGUGACACAUUUAUGGCCUUACAUGAAAUUCUUUUAAACGUUAGAGAUUUUUGAGUAGUUUCAAGUUUUUACUUUUAUUUUUUUUGUUUCUUAUUUAGAAGAAAAAAAAAUAUUUAUUUCGAAAUGGAGAGUGUGAAAAUGAGCUUUCUUAUCGUUAUGUUUGCCAUGUUUUUGUCCUUGAUUCUUCCAACUAUCAAUGCUCAAUCUCCCGCUCCAGCUCCAGCUCCAGCCCCUACAAGUGAUGGGGCAACAAUUGAUCAAGGGGUGGCUUAUGUGCUCAUGAUGGUUGCUUUGGCCUUGACAUACAUUAUGCACUAGCUUUUCCAUUCUUCUUAUAUUUCCCAUCUUUUUAUUUAUUGGGUUGUAUUUUGAUGUUCUUUUAAGAGUCAACUUAAUUUAUUCUUUUGUAUUGUAAAGAUUCAUUCAUUCUCAUUUCCCAUUUCUAGCCAUUGGUUCAUUUCUCAAAUUCAGAUUUGUUAUCAUCUGUACUUCCUAAUUAUUAUUCUUUAUUGAAAUUCAUAUCGUUUCGUUUUA